rnacentral:rRNA from 1 species
AAUUUUGGACAAUGGGGGAAACCCUGAUCCAGCCAUCCCGCGUGUAUGAUGAAGGCCUUCGGGUUGUAAAGUACUGUUUGCAGAGAAGAAAAGGUCUCUCCUAAUACGAGAUACUGCUGACGGUUUCUGCAGAAUAAGCACCUGCUACCUACUUGCCAGCAGCCGCGGUAAUACGUAGGGUGCAAGCGUUAAUCGGAAUUACGGGUCGUAACGCGUGUGUAGGCGGUUCGGAAAGAAAGAUGUGAAAUCCCAGGGCUCAACCUUGGAACUGCAUUUUUAACUGCCGAGCUAGAGUAUGUCAGAGGGGGGUAGAAUUCCACGUGUAGCAGUGAAAUGCGUAGAUAUGUGGAGGAAUACCGAUGGCGAAGGCAGCCCCCUGGGAUAAUACUGACGCUCAGACACGAAAGCGUGGGGAGCAAACA